rnacentral:lncRNA from 1 species
UCUGUCCACAAAUGCAAAAGAAAAUUUAUUGUCGUAGUAUCAGAUAAUGUUCAGAAACAUUUGUGCAACAAAGAGAUGUAAAAAGUGGAUACUUGUGAUACACACCCCUGAAUCAGCUUGAUGACGAUAAUCACCUCCUUUAUAAACUGGCUUUGGUUCAGCUGGACGUGGCACAUUGGGUAGGUCGGAUAAAAGUGGUUCUGCAUAUUUUAACAGCUCUUCAUGGUCAACACCUGAUGCAGCAAGGACCAUCCGAGAAGCAGUAUAAUUUUCCUGUACAGUGAAAAUACCAUUCAGGAAAACAAACGACUGUUAAAUAUCAACAGAUGAGAAAUCGGAAGGGGUUAGAGUCCCAAACAGUAAAACAAUGAAAAAGUAAAGGAACAAAAAAUCAAUGAUGUAUGGGGCUCACAGCAAUGAACUCCUCCAAAACUGCACUGUUCAACCUGCUCACAGCAGAUUCCACUGCCAAAAGAGAAUUUCCAUACGGACCAGAGUAACCAGCUGAAUGAAUAGCCUCCAAAAGCAAGUGUUGAGGGUUUUUAGAGCAUUCACUAACCUCAGCGCUAACCUUAUGAAGCUGAAAUGGACAUUACUAUAUUUAUUCACACCCCCAAAACAGCCUAAAAAAUGAGCACUAACUCCCAUAUGAGAUAGAUGAACUAUACCUGCUCGCUAACCUCCCAAUCCAGAAAAGCAGGGUUCCUCACUGAGUCAAUGAGAAGCUCUAUCAUUUGAGGAACAUAGGUUUUUAGAGCAUCAUAGGUGUAACCCAUAUGUUCCCGAGAGGCUGAAGCCAUGACAUUGCCACCAAUUGCCUCAACUUCUCUAACAACACGCAAGUGGCUCCGAUUUGUUGUACUUUUGAAGGCCAUACGUUCCAGGAGGUGUGUGGCCCCAAAUGACGUCGGAGUUUCGACGAUAAUCACCUCCUUUAUAAACUGGCUUUGGUUCAGCUGGACGUGGCACAUUGGGUAGGUCGGAUAAAAGUGGUUCUGCAUAUUUUAACAGCUCUUCAUGGUCAACACCUGAUGCAGCAAGGACCAUCCGAGAAGCAGUAUAAUUUUC